rnacentral:rRNA from 1 species
GAUUAAGCCAUGCAUGUCUAAGUAUAAGCAAUCUAUACGGUGAAACUGCGAAUGGCUCAUUAAAUCAGUUAUCGUUUAUUUGAUAGUACCUUACUACUUGGAUAACCGUGGUAAUUCUAGAGCUAAUACAUGCUAAAAACCCCGACUUCGGGAGGGGUGUAUUUAUUAGAUAAAAAACCAAUGCCCUUCGGGGCUCCUUGGUGAUUCAUGAUAACUYAACGAAUCGCAUGGCCUUGCGCCGGCGAUGGUUCAUUCAAAUUUCUGCCCUAUCAACUUUCGAUGGUAGGAUAGUGGCCUACCAUGGUAUCAACGGGUAACGGGGAAUUAGGGUUCUAUUCCGGAGAGGGAGCCUGAGAAACGGCUACCACAUCCAAGGAAGGCAGCAGGCGCGCAAAUUACCCAAUCCCGAYGCGGGGAGGUAGUGACAAUAAAUACUGAUACAGGGCUCUUUUGGGUCUUGUAAUUGGAAUGAGUACAAUUUAAAUCCCUUAACGAGGAACAAUUGGAGGGCAAGUCUGGUGCCAGCAGCCGCGGUAAUUCCAGCUCCAAUAGCGUAUAUUAAAGUUGUUGCAGUUAAAAAGCUCGUAGUUGAACCUUGGGCCUGGCUGGCCGGUCCGCCUCACCGCGUGCACUGGUCCGGCCGGGCCUUUCCUUCUGGGGAGCCGCAUGCCCUUCACUGGGCGUGCCGGGGAACCAGGACUUUUACUUUGAAAAAAUUAGAGUGUUCAAAGCAGGCCUUUGCUCGAAUACAUUAGCA